AUGGGUUAAAACCCACUGGGU
rnacentral:snRNA from 1 species